CCCAGGGCUUACGCCCUGGGCUAGCAUCUUCCGUCCUACGGACU
rnacentral:sRNA from 1 species